rnacentral:rRNA from 13 species
GAAAAGAACUUGAAACUUAAUGCUAACAAUCUGUUGAAGCUUAAUAAAAAGAGUGACAGCGUACCUUUUGUAUAAUGGAUCAACGAGUUUAUUUUAGUGGCAAGCUUAAAUUAUUGAAAAUGUAGGCGUAAAGAAACUAAGUUUUAAACUGCGUUAUUAGUCUCUAAAAUAAGACCCGAAACCAAGUGAUCUAAUCAUGAACAGGUUGCAUUUAAAGCGGUAACGCUUAAAGAAGGACCGAACCCGUGUCUGUAGAAAAAUACUGGGAUGAUUUGUGAUUAGGGGUGAAAGGCCAAUCAAA